AUUGAACGCUGGCGGAAUGCUUUACACAUGCAAGUCGAACGGCAGCACGGACUUCGGUCUGGUGGCAAGUGGCGAACGGGUGAGUAAUGUAUCGGAACGUGCCCAGUCGUGGGGGAUAACGUAGUGAAAAUUACGCUAAUACCGCAUACGAUCUAUGGAUGAAAGCGGGGGAUCGCAAGACCUCGCGCGAUUGGAGCGGCCGAUAUCAGAUUAGGUAGUUGGUGGGGUAAAGGCCCACCAAGCCAACGAUCUGUAGCUGGUCUGAGAGGACGACCAGCCACACUGGAACUGAGACACGGUCCAGACUCCUACGGGAGGCAGCAGUGGGGAAUUUUGGACAAUGGGCGAAAGCCUGAUCCAGCCAUUCCGCGUGCAGGAUGAAGGCCCUCGGGUUGUAAACUGCUUUUGUACAGAACGAAAAGGUUUCUACUAAUACUAGGGGCUCAUGACGGUACUGUAAGAAUAAGCACCGGCUAACUACGUGCCAGCCGCCGCGGUAA
rnacentral:rRNA from 1 species